GAAACGCGAUAGGUAAUGUGAAUUGCAGAAUUCCGUGAAUCAUCGAAUCUUUGAACGCACCUUGCGCUCUAUGGUAUUCCGUAGAGCAUGCCUGUUUGAGUGCCGUGAAUUCUCCCAUCCCAAGCGGUUUUUAUCAAAGAAUUGCUAGGCGAAGGGGUUGAGAUGGGCGUUAUUAUAACUGCUUUUCUUCUCUAGAAAAGCUCGCCCGAAAAACAGCUAACGCCUCUGGGCCACUUUGCAUCCGCUUCUCUGAGGGGAGAAGCGGCCAAGCGCGCUCUGAUCAUCAGGCAUAGCAUGAUACGUCAUUUGCUAUGCUUUAGGAGAGCAUUUGGUUGUGGUUAUACCGCGUGCGUCAUUUUUUUUUCUUGCAAAGAGGAAAAAAAAAGCCCCCCUUUCAUUUCUGGUCUCAAAUCAGGUAGGAUCACCCGCUGAACUUAAGC
rnacentral:misc_RNA from 1 species